rnacentral:rRNA from 1 species
CGUGUAGGCGGCCAGGUAGGUCUGCUGUGAAAACUCGAGGCUCAACCUCGAGAUGUCGGCAGAAACCAUCUGGCUAGAGUCCGGAAGAGGAGAGUGGAAUUCCUGGUGUAGCGGUGAAAUGCGCAGAUAUCAGGAAGAACACCCGUGGCGAAGGCGGCUCUCUGGGACGGUACUGACGCUGAGACGCGAAGCGUGGGAGCGAACA